AUUGAACGCUGGCGGAAUGCUUUACGCAUGCAAGUCGAGCGGCAGCGCGGGGCAACCUGGCGGCGAGCGGCGAACGGGUGAGUAAUGCAUCGGAACGUACCCAAUUGUGGGGGAUAACUAUCCGAAAGGAUAGCUAAUACCGCAUAAGUCCUGAGGGAGAAAGCGGGGGAUCGCAAGACCUCGCGCGAUUGGAGCGGCCGAUGCCGGAUUAGCUAGUUGGUAGGGUAAAGGCCUACCAAGGCGACGAUCCGUAGCUGGUCUGAGAGGAUGAUCAGCCACACUGGAACUGAGACACGGUCCAGACUCCUACGGGAGGCAGCAGUGGGGAAGUUUGGACAAUGGGGGCAACCCUGAUCCAGCCAUUCCGCGUGAGCGAAGAAGGCCUUCGGGUUGUAAAGCUCUUUCGGCAGGAACGAAACGGUUUGGGUUAAUACCCUGAGCUAAUGACGGUACCUGAAGAAGAAGCACCGGCUAACUACGUGCCAGCAGCCGCAGUAA
rnacentral:rRNA from 1 species